AGAACGAACGCUUGCGGCGUGCUUAACACAUGCAAGUCGAACGAGAAAGGGACUUCGGUCCUGAGUAAAGUGGCGCACGGGUGAGUAACGCGUAGGUAAUCUACCCCUGUGUUCGGGACAACAUCGGGAAACUGGUGCUAAUACCGGAUACGUUUCACGGAUUGCGAAAUAAGUGAAGGAAAGAUGGCGACCCUUCGGGGGCUAUUGCACGGGGAUGAGCCUGCGUACCAUUAGCUAGUUGGCAGGGUAAGGGCCUACCAAGGCGACGAUGGUUAGCGGGUCUGAGAGGAUGAUCCGCCACACUGGCACUGGAACACGGGCCAGACUCCUACGGGAGGCAGCAGUGAGGAAUUUUGCACAAUGGGGGAAACCCUGAUGCAGCGACGCCGCGUGAGUGACGAAGGUCUUCGGAUCGUAAAGCUCUGUCAGCAGGGAAGAAAUGUAUCAUGGCUAAUAUCCAUGGUACUUGACGGUACCUGCAAAGGAAGCACCGGCUAACUCCGUGCCAGCAGCCGCGGUAAUACGGAGGGUGCGAGCGUUGUUCGGAUUUACUGGGCGUAAAGGGCGCGUAGGCGGUUUUAUAAGCCAGAUGUGAAAGCCCACGGCUCAACCGUGGAAGUGCAUCUGGAACUGUAAGACUUGAGUACUGGAGGGGAGUGUGGAAUUCCCGGUGUAGAGGUGAAAUUCGUAGAUAUCGGGAGGAAUACCGGUGGCGAAGGCGACACUCUGGACAGAUACUGACGCUGAGGCGCGAAAGCGUGGGGAGCAAACAGGAUUAGAUACCCUGGUAGUCCACAGCUGUAAACGAUGUGCACUAGGUGUGGGGGGUCGUUGACCCUUUCCGUGCCGUAGCUAACGCGAUAAGUGCACCGCCUGGG
rnacentral:rRNA from 1 species